AUCCACAAACUCAAACCAAGCACACACACACCUUAAUCACCAUCAUUUGUAGCCACAUAUUCUACCUAAACCUGGUUAUAAGACCCCUGUUCAGCCAUUUUAAUCAAACUUUCUGCACAUACAAGCUCAAGAACAAGUAUUUUGGUACUAUACCCAGAAAUUCAGCACAAACGGAUCUCCGAAUCUAAGCCUAACGAGUAAUACGCGUAAAGGUGUGGAUUAGCAUACUUUGAUAGCCUAGUAUCUGUGAAAUCUGUAACUUGGACACUACUUGAUGACCCCCUUUGUGUUAGUUGCUUGGAAGUUUAUGUGCGAUACUAUGUGGAUAGAGGCAUGCCACUUAGCUAAAUAAAACGGUUCAUGGAAACUCGCGUAGUAUCUAGCUAAAAUAUGUAAUAGUAAUGUGUAAUAGCGAUACGUAAAACAAUGAUGUAUCAUAUUGUUUAAUUAAUGUUUAAUAGAGUAUCUUUAUAACAAUGACUUAAAC